UGAAGCCCUUCGGGGUGGAUUAGUGGCGAACGGGUGAGUAACACGUGGGCAAUCUGCCCUUCACUCUGGGACAAGCCCUGGAAACGGGGUCUAAUACCGGAUAACACCGGCUUCCGCAUGGGGGCUGGUUGAAAGCUCCGGCGGUGAAGGAUGAGCCCGCGGCCUAUCAGCUUGUUGGUGGGGUAAUGGCCUACCAAGGCGACGACGGGUAGCCGGCCUGAGAGGGCGACCGGCCACACUGGGACUGAGACACGGCCCAGACUCCUACGGGAGGCAGCAGUGGGGAAUAUUGCACAAUGGGCGAAAGCCUGAUGCAGCGACGCCGCGUGAGGGAUGACGGCCUUCGGGUUGUAAACCUCUUUCAGCAGGGAAGAAGCGAAAGUGACGGUACCUGCAGAAGAAGCGCCGGCUAACUACGUGCCAGCAGCCGCGGUAAUACGUAGGGCGCAAGCGUUGUCCGGAAUUAUUGGGCGUAAAGAGCUCGUAGGCGGCUUGUCACGUCGGGUGUGAAAGCCCGGGGCUUAACCCCGGGUCUGCAUCCGAUACGGGCAGGCUAGAGUGUGGUAGGGGAGAUCGGAAUUCCUGGUGUAGCGGUGAAAUGCGCAGAUAUCAGGAGGAACACCGGUGGCGAAGGCGGAUCUCUGGGCCAUUACUGACGCUGAGGAGCGAAAGCGUGGGGAGCGAACAGGAUUAGAUACCCUGGUAGUCCACGCCGUAAACGUUGGGAACUAGGUGUUGGCGACAUUCCACGUCGUCGGUGCCGCAGCUAACGCAUUAAGUUCCCCGCCUGGGGAGUACGGCCGCAAGGCUAAAACUCAAAG
rnacentral:rRNA from 1 species